rnacentral:rRNA from 1 species
GACGAGGGAUCCUAGCGUUGUUCGGAAUCAUUGGGCGUAAAGCGUGUGUAGGUGGCCAUUCAAGUCAGUUGUGAAAGCCCCGGGCUUAACCCGGGAAGUGCUUCUGAUACUGUUUGGCUUGAGUACUGGAGAGGAUAGUAGAAUUCCUGGUGUAGUGGUGAAAUACGUAGAUAUCAGGAGGAAUACCGGUGGCGAAGGCGGCUAUCUGGCCAUGUACUGACGCUGAGACACGAAAGCGUGGGGAGCGAACAGG